rnacentral:sRNA from 1 species
UCGGUCUCUUUCUGCCGCCAUCUUGGUUCCGCGUUCCCUGCACAAAAUGCCCGGCGAAGCCACAGAAACCGUCCCUGCUACAGAGCAGGAGUUGCCGCAGCCCCAGGCUGAGACAGGGUCUGGAACAGAAUCUGACAGUGAUGAAUCAGUACCAGAGCUUGAAGAACAGGAUUCCACCCAGGCAACCACACAACAAGCCCAGCUGGCGGCAGCAGCUGAAAUUGAUGAAGAACCAGUCAGUAAAGCAAAACAGAGUCGGAGUGAAAAGAAGAUGUCUACAAGAGCCCUGCUUCAGAUACUUACAUAGUUUUUGGGGAAGCCAAGAUCGAAGAUUUAUCCCAGCAAGCACAACUAGCAGCUGCUGAGAAGUUCAAAGUUCAAGGUGAAGCUGUCUCAAACAUUCAAGAAAACACACAGACUCCAACUGUACAAGAGGAGAGUGAAGAGGAAG